rnacentral:lncRNA from 1 species
UCCAAGAUGCUGUCAAAAUUAAAACAAUAUGGCUACUGGAAGGCAAACAUUGAAUAUUAUUCUAUCAGGUUCUUAUGGUUUUAGAUCAUUUUAGUUGUUGUACAAAGAUUAAUUUAACAUUUUCUCUGGAAGUAUUAAUUUAGAAAGAUAAUAUGCCUCAUUGGUGUUGUGUUUUGAAGUGUGAAAUGCAAAGUAAUCGUGAUAAAGUUAGCUUUUACCACUUACCAUCAGUGCUACAUUCUAAGCACAAAACUGAACCAAUUUAACUAAAUAAGUUAUAGUUAUCAUCUGAGAGACAACAACAAUGGUAAAAUGCAAUAAAAUAUAAAGAUUUUACUAGCAAAAUGGAAAUUCCCCUGUAAUCAUCUUAUAUCUGGAAAACCAGCCGACUUAACUGAUAAUAACAAUCCAGAUUGGGUUCCUUCAAUAAAUAUGGGGUAUAUAAACACAAUGAAAUGAGUUCCCCAAAAUCUAAAAUGGGAAUUAAGGUACCAAAGGAGAAUUAAAAGAAAAGGGUACCUACAA